AUCUUGUUUUUUUCUCCUUCCCGCACAGACGUGACUGAACUGGUCCACAGCCAUAUUGGAAAGAAAAGAUCUACAUGUACAAUAUACAUAGACGUGUUACAAAUAUCAAGUUGGAUAUGUCAAACAAUUUUUAUAGAGUUAAGAUGAAUAUACCACGGAAAUGGAUGUACGUUUGAAAUGGCCCUUUGUUGCGUACGGCUCAAGUUGUUUUCGAUGGGAUUACUUUCAGAAAUUUUAUCCCUAUCUGUAAAUGGAGUUUCGUGUUAUAUGCUGGAACAUGUUUCUUAAUCAUAAUAGAAAAACAAAAAGGGGCUUCGAUAUUGAUUGAUGGCUACAUUAACAGAGCUCACGAAGUCCUGGGGCGCUGGUUUGGUUGAUGUCCUUGCAAGCAUAGGACCUAUAUAUAGAGAGCUAUUAAUUUUAACCAUGUUGCCAACAUUUAUUUACAUCGCAAUAAAAGAUUAAAUUGAACCCUUUGUGGUGUGAUCCAAAAUCCCUCUGUAUUAUAUUUAAAAAAAAAUGAGGUACUCCAGGGAUAAAAUGUUAUUGUCAUAAUUAAUUCAAUGGUAAGUAUAUAUCGCACAGGCUUGUGGGCAGGAACAAAAGAGAUUAAAGUCCUCUUAGUGUAACGCGAAGAAAAAUAUAACCCGCAGCUACGUGUCACUCUUUCAACUGUUCAAGGGCUUGAGCUAUUUGCCACAUACCAACUUCCUUGGAUUGAACACAACACAGAUGUAUUGUGUGUGUAAGUGUAGUGUGUGUACACUGAUGAGUCAGGCUGUCGGCGGUUUAACCGAUGUGCUGGCACACUACACUUGGCCAGCUAAGGCGAACUCCUAUCUGUCUAUUUAAAACCCGUAUGCAAUAGAAUUGAUUUGCUGGAUUUGUUUUAACUAUAAGAUAUGAAUACCGUUUUUGUUUAAUGUGUUGUUUGUGUCUUAUUUUAUUUGCUAUCUAUCGCAGCUUACAUUUCUUUGUGCGAUAAAUUGUGACUGUACACAAUAAAGGCGACCAUUUUGUUUUAGUCCUACCUGCACUCCCGCCAUCUACGAUGGUUGUAACACCACGGGAAAGGCACUGUUCAUCGGGGUUAAUCCCUAAUGGUGUAGAAUAUUGGUAGCAGUGAACAUGACAAUCGAUCAGACCUGGCGUUACCAAGCAACCGGUAGCAUCAAAUGUCUCUUUUGCCUGUAACUGUAUAUUAUUGCCAAUCGAUAUUAUCAUUCCAUCAUUAACAGCUAUGUCAGCAACAGUGUCCACUCCAUUUGCAGGAUCGAUUAUUCUCCCGUUUUUGACCAACAAAUCAAUUUGCGACAUUCUUUCGCGAUACUGUAAUCUAUUUAGGUCUAUAUACCUCUGAAACUGUAUCGUUAUCUACAUGUAUAUGUAUAGAUAUCGGUACUAUAGUAUAAGUUAAACCCCUUCACGAUAACUGAGGUACUGUUCUCUUGCAGGGCAAAUUUAUAUACUUUGCUGAAAUUUUAGUAGGUAGAUGAUUAAAGACGUACAAAUGAAACAAUUAACGUUACGUAAUUUUUUUUUACCAAAUUAUGUCACUUUGUCCUGCAAAAGGGCAGUACCGCAGUUACCGUAAAUGUGUUGAUAGCAGCUGAGGCUAUUACGAGUAUAAUGGUGGCGUUUUUGCUAAUAAAAUAUGUUGUGCUAGCUUAUGGCGUGUCUACAGU
rnacentral:sRNA from 1 species